rnacentral:tRNA from 1 species
UGCCUGCUGCCGGACCGGUUCGACGGCGCGGCGCUGAUGUCGCAGCCGAUCCCGCUCCCGGUGUUCGGGAUGAUCUGGUCCCACCUGGUGGCGGACGG